AUACGUAGGGGGCUAGCGUUAUCCGGAUUUACUGGGCGUAAAGGGUGCGUAGGUGGUUUGUUAAGUUAGAUGUGAAAGUUUGCAGCUCAACUGUAAAAGUGCAUUUAAAACUGGCAGACUUGAGUCUCGGAGAGGUAAGCGGAAUUCCUAGUGUAGCGGUGAAAUGCGUAGAGAUUAGGAAGAACACCGGUGGCGAAGGCGGCUUACUGGACGAGUACUGACGCUCAGGUACGAAAGCGUGGGGAGC
rnacentral:rRNA from 1 species